rnacentral:rRNA from 1 species
AGAGUUUGAUCAUGGCUCAGAACGAACGCUGGCGGCGUGGCUAAGACAUGCAAGUCGAACGGACUGCUCAAUUUAUUGGUCAGUUAGUGGCGAAAGGGUUAGGAACGGAUGGGUAACGUACCCUGUGCUUUGGGAUAGCGUCAUCCCGACUUCGGUCGGGAUUUCCGAAAGGGGCGGUAAUACCAAAUAAUAUCAUUUGUCUAUAGGCGGAUGAUCAAAGAUUUAUCGGCAUAGGCGCGGCCUGUCUCCUAUCAGCUUGUUGGUGGGGUAAUGGCUCACCAAGGCAACGACGGGUGGCGGGACUGAGAGGUUGGCCCGCAACAUCGGGACUGAGACACUGCCCGGACCUCCACGGAGGGCUGCAGUAACGAAUAUUGUGCAAUGGGCGAAAGCCUGACACAGCGACGCCGCGUGUAGGAGGAAGUCCUUCGGGAUGUAAACUACUGUCAGGGGGAAGAAAGUGCGCUUCGGUGCAUUGAUCUAACCCAGAGGAAGUCACGGCUAACUUCGUGCCAGCAGCCGCGGUAAGACGAAGGUGGCAAGCGUUGUUCGGUAUCACUGGGCUUAAAGCGUGUGUAGGCGGAAAAGCAAGCGUUUCGUGAAAUCCCCCGGCUUAACCGGGGAACUGCGCAACGAACUGCUUUUCUUGAGGCAAGUAGGGGUGCAUGGAACUCUUGGUGGAGCGGUGGAAUGCGUAGAUAUCAAGAGGAACGCCAGUGGAGAAAUCGGUGCACUGGGCUUGUCCUGACGCUGAGACACGAAAGCGUGGGUAGCGAACGGGAUUAGAUACCCCGGUAGUCCACGCCGUAAACGAUGCCUACUAGGUUGUGAAAGUUCUGACACUGGCACAGCCGAAGCAAAAGUGUUAAGUAGGCCGCCUGGGGAGUACGGUCGCAAGGCUA